AACGUAGGAGACAAACGUUAUCCGGAGUUACUGGGCGUAAAGGGCGUGUAGGUGGUUGUGUAAGUCUGGCGUGAAAUUUUUCGGCUUAACCGGGAAAGGUCGUCGGAUACUGCAAAACUAGAGGACGGUAGAGGCGUGUGGAAUUCCGGGUGUAGUGGUGAAAUGCGUAGAGAUCCGGAGGAACACCAGUGGCGAAGGCGGCAUCCUGGACCAACACUGACGCUGAGGAGCGAAAGCCAGGGGAGCAAACGGG
rnacentral:rRNA from 1 species